rnacentral:rRNA from 1 species
GCCCGUACGGGUGGAGGUUCAGACAUGUGCGAUGGUUCACCAGGCCGGCCUCAGAGUCGGGUUGUUUGAGAUUGCAGCCCAAAGAGGGUGGUAAACUCCAUCCAAGGCUAAAUACUGCCACGAGUCCGAUAGCGAACAAGUACCAUGAGGGAAAGUUGAAAAGUACUCUGAAGAGAGAGUAAACAGUACGUGAAGCCGCAUGCAGGUAAACGGGUGGCGUCAAGCUGCGAGCCCGGAGGAUUCAGCUGACUGGGAUGUAGUGUACGCGCGCCUGGUGCGUCGAGAGGCCGGAGUAAGAUGUUUGGCGGUCCACUCCUCUCUCGGGAGUGGGGCGCGAUCGAUGUGCGCUUGCGUAUGUCGGUUGUCGCUAUGCAUGCCCGGGUGGGUGCCGGAGCAUGCCGCUUCGUCUGUUGGGCCACCUAGUCAGUGCAUUUUCUCCGUGGUGAACACCACGACCGGUGGGACUGCCAGUCUGCUGCGAGCAAGUCGUGUCCUCCUGAUUACCUUGUGUGUUGGGUGGGCGCGAUCGCAGGCGGAAUGGGUGAACGGCGCAGUGGUACCUCGGUGCUGCCGCGUGUUAUCGUGCACUCUCCGUUGUAAGCGGUUAGUGGGUUAGUGCUGUGACUACUUGCCCUCUGAUCGGCGGCUCGUAGUGGUGAAAGUAACUGUGCAGGGCACCGGAGUUCUCCACCUCAUUCAAUAUGGUACUCGGCACGCACGUCAUAGGUGCUGUUGAAUCGGGAUGCGCCGCUGUCUGCCUAGUGUUGGGCCUGACUGUCGUGUUGCCUGCGCAAAGUGGGUCCGGCGGUGGCUUCGAUGCUGGGCAGCUCUGCAGUGUGUUGCGUGUCUCGGGGUGUCUGUAGUGCCGGGGGGUGAAAUAAGUCAGUGGUGCUGGUGGUAGACGAAGCUACCCCGAACCCGGUCUUGGAAACACGGGACCAAGGGAGUUUAACAUGUGUGCGAGUCAAAGGGUCCUACGAAACCCCUAGGCGCAGUGAAAGUGAAGUUCAUGCUGCACUUCUGCACAUACGCGGUGCAGCGUGGCGAGGUGAGAUCUCGUUGUACUCAUGACACACGCCGUAGACCUCUCUACUGGGCAUUAUAACUGGGGCAACGAGCGCAUCACCGGCCCGUCUCAUGAUGUGGUCAUGGGUGUACUUGCGCGUGGAGUGGCAACACAAAACGCGUAAAGCCUGUGCGUCAUCGGGGCGGAGCAUGAGCACACACGUUGAGACCCGAAAGAUGGUGAACUAUGCUUGCGUAGGUUGAAGCCAGAGGAAACUCUGGUGGAGGACCGUAGCGAUUCUGACGUGCAAAUCGAUCGUCAAACGUGAGUCUAGGGGUAACACAC